GAGAAGAUUUUGACCCUCCUCCUCCCCUUCUUCCAUCAAUGCUUAUUCUGUGUUAUAAAUCAAUAUUUAUUUGAAUUUUGUUAUAUGUCCUUUUUAAUUCUUAUUUGAACUAGUCAAAACAUUUUUUAUGAAGCUAGUCUCAUAUGUUUCCAAGGUUGGCAUGUAAGCAUGUUUUUCAUAUAGAUAUAGUAGUCCCAUCUUUUUUGCCAUUCCUUAGUCAUGUGUUUUUUAUUGUGUAUGUACAAUUUUUAUAUUCAUGAUACUGUCUCUUUUUGGUUGUUUUAUUUUUCAUUGUGACAGGUGUAACGUACAGUUUGAUAGCGGACAAUACCGCUACAUUUACAUUGGCAUUUGUAAUAAAAUGCUCUUUUCAAUUC
rnacentral:sRNA from 1 species